GACGAACGCUGGCGGCGUGCUUAACACAUGCAAGUCGAACGGUGAAGCGCCUUCUUUUUUGGUGGGUUUGGUUGGUUGGCGAACGGUGAAUUAACACUUAGGUACCCUGCCCCUUUCUUCUGAUUACCGCAAUGAAGGUUUGUUUAUUACGGGAUAUUCUGGUUCUUUCGCAUGAUGGUUUUGGGAAGGUUUUUUUUUCGUUGGGGGCUGGCUCGCGGCCCUUCAGCCUGUUGGUGGGGUGGUGGGCUUCCCAGGCGGUGACGGGUAGACGGCCUGGGAGGGUGGACGGUCACACUGGGACUGAGACACGGCCCAGACUGCUACGGGAGGCAGAAGUGGGGAAUAUUGCACAAUGGGCGAAAGCGUGAUGCAGCGACGCCGCGUGAGGGAUGGAGGCCUUCGGGUGGUGAACCUCUUUCGCCAGUGAAGCAGGCCUGCCUCGUUUGUGGGUGGGUUGACGGUAGCUGGAUAAGAAGCGCCGGCUAACUACGUG
rnacentral:rRNA from 1 species